CAGUCGCCGCGGGAAAACGUAGGGUGCAAGCGUUGUCCGGAAUUACUGGGCGUAAAGAGCUCGUAGGUGGUUUGUCGCGUCGUCUGUGAAAUCCCGGGGCUUAACUCCGGGCGUGCAGGCGAUACGGGCAUAACUGGAGUGCUGUAGGGGAGACUGGAAUUCCUGGUGUAGCGGUGAAAUGCGCAGAUAUCAGGAGGAACACCGAUGGCGAAGGCAGGUCUCUGGGCAGUAACUGACGCUGAGGAGCGAAAGCAUGGGUAGCGAACAGGAUUAGAUACCCGCGUAGUCCCUGUCUCUUAUU
rnacentral:rRNA from 1 species